ensembl:lncRNA
CGGGGCUGGCGCGCGACGUGCUGGAGCGGGCGCGGCGGCGGAGGCGGCGGCCGGCGGGACGGCUCCCGGCCUCGGCCCCGGUCAGUGCUGCGGGGCGGCGGGGCGGGGGCGGCCGCGCCGGCGGGAAGGCGGCGAGAUAAAUAAGAAGCGCCGAGGAGCUGCGUCCGUAAACGGUGGCAGGACGGCUCGCGUCCUGCGGGGGCCUAGGGCGUGCGUGCGUGUACGUACCUGUGCGUGGGAGCGAGCCUUAGGCGUGCUUUGACGAGCUAGAGGCGUUUUAAAAGCCGUGGAACCGUUUCACGCUUGGUGGCUUCCCCCUGCGUUUUCCCUAGUCAAAGCCGGAAGAAGAUUCAGAACGUCUCAGUGCAGCAUUCGCUUCAAUUGUGAACUUGAUGAACCAAGCCACAAAGGAAUGCGAGAAGUACUAUAGCUUCAUGGCAGCCUGUAGAUGCAAAGAGCAUGAAAUCAAACACAUCUGCAGAUACCACAGCAGGCAAGCAGGGCAAAGAGAGCUAGAGUCCUCCCAAGAAGAGAGGACGGAAGCCUCUGUAGCACUCAGUCAAGCUCAAACUUGCGAGCAACACACCAGACAAGCUUCCGAAGACAUCUACAUUGAAGUUUCUCCUGGCACCUAUUCUGUCACAGCAACCUCAGAGGACAUGGUGCAGCAAACCCAUGUGGUGGAUGUCAACGCAGGACAAAGUUAUGAUUUAACUUUUGUUCUAUGAAGUUUGUUAUUUCUCGGCAAUCACAGGAAUAAAAUACAAGGCUGUUUUAAUGCAUGUCAUGAACUAUGUAUAUCUUUUUCUUGUUAGCACUUUAAUAGUAUCCUCUUUGGGACUCCAUUUUUAUGGCCUGUAUAUUUGUUUUCUACUUAAUGCAGUUAUAUGCAGCCCACUUUGUACACUGAUUUUAUAAAUAUUUGUACAUUGUGUGCCUUAAAUCCAAUUAUGUGACUCCAGUUCCAGGUUCUUAUGCUUUAAACAAUUAAGAUACAAUCAGUGGAAUAAAAGACAUAAUUUAGUCUUUGUGAUGACAGCUUCUUUUUUAUUAUCCUCAGACAGAGUGUCCAUGUCACAUUCUUGAGCACAGACAGCAUGAUCGUGUGGUAUGAAUAUGGAUGUACAUUAGCUUCUGUGGGCUGGCACUGAUUUUAAAGCAUUUGGCUCACAAUGCAUCUCUCCUAUCUGUACUUUUAUUAUUCUGAUAAAGAAAUAAAAUGCAAAUGAAAUUCACUAUCUAUCUAGGACCCCAACUCAGGAAGGUGCUUGAGUGUGUGUCAGAUGUUCAGUAUAGGCACAUAAACUAUUGAUACUUCAAGUACUGUCUCUUUGCAGGCUCUUACCUAGACUAAACACCAGUUAGCUGCCUUCUUCCAUAGGCUGUAGGUUACCCUGAAUUGUUUGCUGUUUCAUGCAAGGGAAAAGUACUGCUGAGCAACUGCACACUGCAGCUUUUGGCCAAGUUCAUACACUCCAAACAUGAGCAGUCCUAUUAAUGAGACUCCAUGGAUGCUUAACUCUCCCAAAGGAUCAGAUUCCAUCCACAGUUAGAAUUAGUGACAUGACCUAUAUAUAUCUCUAAUCUUUUUGUAGCUGAUGGGAUUAAGGUUUCAGUUAAUUUUCAUGGGAAUACAAAAUUCAGUGAGUUGAAUGCUGGAUCUCUAAGCACGUUGUUGUUUCUAUCUACAGUAGCAGGUCCCUUACCCUCUGGCUACUUUCUCUUCUGCUUUAAUCCUGAAAUAUUUUCAGCUGUCAGCUUGUAUUGUUUCUCCAUUCCUUCUGGCUUUCUACAAAAAGAAAUUGCUAUGCUAAAUUCCUCUGGCUGACUCAAGAGAACUGUAGACAAACUGGAGGUUUGUAGAGCCUUGCUGUGCAUCUGUUCAGGCUUUUAAUGCUCGCACUAGAUUACCUGAUCUCUCCAGAAUUGUAAAGUCAAGUCCAAAUAAUUAGGAAUUUGAUACAACACCUUGGAGUAAAGAAUGAGGAUGCUGAAAUUCAAUGUGUGUAGAAACAGUGUUUCUCAGUUAUUAAAAUCAUACAGUUAUCCAUAAGAUAUUCUACAGAGACAGUACCCAAAUCAGAAUUUGAUUUGCUUAAUAAACGUAACACUGAUACAGUCUAAGCAGUUUACCUGAAAUUUCAGCUCCUGAACUUCAUCAGUUGUCCAUUUAUUGAAUUCUGUGUUGAUCGUGUCUCUCCCUCUCCUUUGUUGCAAGUGAGCUCUUCGUUGUUUUUUUUGUCUGUCCUCUUCUGACAUGGUCUGUAUCGUCAAGUUUGUUGCCUUCUGUGCAAGUCACUUUACAGUUAUCAUCCGACUCUGUCUUCUUCCUUGCUGUUUUAUAUCUUUGUUUUUCUGAUGCUGCAAAACCUUCUUCCUGGAGGACAGAAAACAAAUCCCUUGGAAGUCUAACCUAAAAAAAAGCAUCAGUGUCUU